CUACGGGAUGCAGCAGUGGGGAAUUUUGGGCAAUGGGCGAAAGCCUGACCCAGCGACGCCGCGUGGAGGAUGAAGGCCCUCGGGUUGUAAACUCCUGUCAGGUGGGAAGAAAUGCCCGCCGGUAAACAGCCGGUGGGAGUUGACUGUACCACCAAAGGAAGCCCCGGCUAACUCCGUGCCAGCAGCCGCGGUAAUACGGAGGGGGCAAGCGUUAUUCGGAUUUACUGGGCGUAAAGCGCACGUAGGCGGCCAGGCGUGUCGACGGUGAAAGCCCUCGGCUCAACCGAGGAAUUGCCUUCGAAACUGCCUGGCUUGAGUCCGGGAGAGGGGAGCGGAAUUCCCAGUGUAGCGGUGAAAUGCGUAGAUACUGGGAGGAACACCGGUGGCGAAGGCGGCUCCCUGGACCGGUACUGACGCUGAGGUGCGAAAGCGUGGGUAGCAAACAGGAUUAGAUACCCGCGUAGUC
rnacentral:rRNA from 1 species